rnacentral:rRNA from 1 species
AUGAACGCUGGCGGCGUGCCUAAUACAUGCAAGUCGAGCGAACAGAUGAGGAGCUUGCUCCUCUGACGUUAGCGGCGGACGGGUGAGUAACACGUGGAUAACCUACCUAUAAGACUGGGAUAACUUCGGGAAACCGGAGCUAAUACCGGAUAAUAUAUUGAACCGCAUGGUUCAAUAGUGAAAGACGGUUUUGCUGUCACUUAUAGAUGGAUUCGCGCCGCAUUAGCUAGUUGGUAAGGUAACGGCUUACCAAGGCAACGAUGCGUAGCCGACCUGAGAGGGUGAUCGGCCACACUGGAACUGAGACACGGUCCAGACUCCUACGGGAGGCAGCAGUAGGGAAUCUUCCGCAAUGGGCGAAAGCCUGACGGAGCAACGCCGCGUGAGUGAUGAAGGUCUUCGGAUCGUAAAACUCUGUUAUUAGGGAAGAACAAAUGUGUAAGUAACUAUGCACGUCUUGACGGUACCUAAUCAGAAAGCCACGGCUAACUACGUG